UUCACCAGUCCUAUGGUUAUCAUUUAGCAGCUUCAGUAAUGCUAUCACUUGCUGAACGCCUGCUCACAUAGCCAGGUUUUAAGGUUUUUUCUGAACACCAGGAGGGAGGGGGGAGUUCCACAGCCGAGGGGGCCACCACCGAGAAGGCCCUGUCUCUUGUCCCAACCAAUCGCACUUACAAAGGAGGCAGGACUGAGAGCAGGACUUCCCCGGCCUAUCUGAGCACUCAAACUGGUGCAUAAAAGGAGAUACGUUAGGACAGGUAAGCUGGACUGAAACUGUUUAGGGAUUUAUAGGCUAAAGCCAGGGGCCAGGGUGCUGGGCUGUGGCACAGGCUGGUUAGUAGCCAGCUGCAAUAAAAUCACUCUGACCAAGAGGUCAUGAGUUCGAGGCCAGCCCGUGUCGGGGUGAGCACCCAACAAUUAAAAAUAAAAUAUAGCCCCUGCUUGUUGCUGACCUAUGUGACCUAAAAGAUAGUAAGAAAUUUAGGUACCACUUAUAUGUGGAGAGGCUAAUUUACGACACCAUAAAAAUCAUCCAGCUGUUGGAAUGAGGAAGUGCUGUUGCAGUGGAUGAUGAAGCAGCUGUUCCCCCUGUGGCCAGAAUCAAGCAUACCCUCUGGAAGCUGGAAGCUGGAGAAGUUUUAAAUUUCCUCUGCGUCUGUGUCUAUUCUAUGUUAUAUGGCAUUGAAUGUUUGCCUUAUAUGUGUACAAUGUGAUCUGCCCUGAGUCCCCUUUGGGUUGAGAAGGGCGGAAUAUAAAUACUGUAAAUAAAUAAAUAAAUGAAUGAAUAAAGCAUGUUGAGCACAAUUCAAAGUGCUAGCUUCAGCCUAUAAAUCAGCAGCAGCAACAACAAUAAUAAUAUUGAAAUUGGAUGAAACAAAUUUAGGAAUGUCCAAUAAGAAGCUAAAGAAAAGUGAAAUGAAUAGAUCCAUCGAUCUAUAUCUAGAUUCUGCUAUGAACUGAGUGACAACAUUUAUCAUUUUAUGAUGCCUAAAACUUCUCUAUCAUACAUUCAAAAAGACCAGCUGAAUGGAUUCUGGUUCCAUUACUGGUUUUUAAUCAUGAUCACAUAAAUUGAGCAGCAAGCUAUGCG
rnacentral:lncRNA from 1 species